rnacentral:rRNA from 1 species
AAUCAACGCUGGCGGCGUGCCUCAGACAUGCAAGUCGAACGAUUAAACUUUCCUUCGGGAAAGAUAUAAAGUGGCGCACGGGUGAGUAACACGUAGGUAAUGUGCCUUUGGGUGGGGAAUAACUUAGGGAAACUUAAGCUAAUACCGCAUAAUGCAGCGGCUCCUUCGGGAGACAGUUGUUAAAGAUUUAUCGCCUAAAGAGCAGCCUGCGGCAGAUUAGCUAGUUGGUAAGGUAACGGCUUACCAAGGCUACGAUCUGUAUCCGACCUGAGAGGGCGGUCGGUCACACUGACACUGACAUACGGGUCAGACUCCUACGGGAGGCAGCAGUCGGGAAUUUUGGGCAAUGGGCGAAAGCCUGACCC